rnacentral:lncRNA from 1 species
CUUAGCGCAGCCGCGGCCCAACCAGCCGCCGGGCCGGGCGGGGGGUUCGUCCCGCGGUGCCGCUGCCGGCUCGGUGCCCUGCGGCGGGGCCACCGGCUUCCGGCUGUGCGUGCCCUCCUCCUCGGGGCGCAGCGGCUCGGCCAGCGCGAAGAUGGGGUCCCGCGCCCUGCGGAGAGAAGGAGGUGAGGGCGGGGGGGCGGCCCACGGCGGCCGUCGUGCCCCGCAGCGCUCCCCGCCCGCUCACCGCUCGUAGCCGGGGAUCUGCAGGCCCAGCUCCUCCAUCAGCAGCCGCAUGACGUCGUCGCAGCGGCCGUGCAGCUUCAGGGCAGCCAGGUCGUCCUUGGGCGUCCACUGCGAGGCGACAGCGGGACACCGCGGCGCUGCAGCACCCGCUGCGAGGGGCUUCACCCCACCUCCCGGCCCAGGACUGGGAAGGCGCUCACCUGCAGGUUGACGAUAUAGAGCUUUGGACGACGAGGUGGGGGUUUGCUCAUGCACCAAAGGCGGGGGUAUUUUUUCAAAACCUGCCACAAAACAGAACUGAUCAGCACAGCCAAAGGCACGCGUAACCCUGAACCGUAGCAGCGAGAGGAGAAGGAAUGUAUUACCAGGAGGGGAAAGAGGGAGGAAGAGAGACUAUCACACAGAUGGUGGGCGAAUCCUGACACCAGAGUUUACAGUUGUCUGUUUGGGAGGAGACUGCUCAGCACCAAGGUGUGUCACCAAGAGGGAAUGCUGCUAACAAUCUUCACCGAGUCUCUAAAGUUACCUUUAAGCUGGAACCCAGACAAAGAAUCACAUCUGCUUUGCUUGCAGCUUCUGUUGCUGCUUCCCAGUUCAGGGGCUGUGUCAGUGUCCCCUUCUCCCCAAAGUGGACGAUUGUAUCUCUCAACUGCGCCCCACACUUGUGGCACAUCCUGCCAGUGUGGUGCUUGUGCAGGGCUGUGCGUUCUGUCACGUCAAAUACUCGCACAUACUCUCUGUUGGGUGUACACGAAGUGCAGACCUAUAGCACAGGAAGGAAAAAACGUAGUACUGUCGGUAUCUGGUCCAUCAGAGCCCAGGGCUGCAGCCACGCCUCAGAGAAAAGCACCUUCUGGGGACAACAAACCUGGGAGCAGUAGAAGGAAUCAUCUGUGUUUAGAUGCUAACUUGGAAGCAUUGAGAAACACUCAACUAGUGAGUGGCAUUACAGGGGGCUGGGCAAUAGGAGGGGUUUUCAGGCAAGGCCUGAAGAACUGUGCCCAGAAGCAGAAGGCUCUAGCAGAUACAGAGAAAAAACUGCCAGGUUGUACAGAAAACUUAACUUUGGGGCUUGCUAAGUAGUUCACCCAAAAACGGACAACCUAAAGAUACAAACUAAGCUGAGACUGGCCCUCGUGCUAAUUCUUCAGUCAGGGAGAAACAGUUAAUAUUAUCUUUUUACAAGGCCAAUACUGACAGUACCUCUGUACUUUUCUAGCUGCUCACCUCUAUGUACAUGUUUCCAUGAAGCUCAGAGAUUGCUGAUCGAGGUAACCCACUUCGCAGGUGCAGCCCAUCACAGUUUUGAGAUACCACAUGCUGCACCUGGAAGAGAAUAAAACACUGAAAUAACACACAUAGAGAAGACUCUGAAAGUAUUACUCCAAUGCAGGUAAUACGUAUGUCUCAGUGUGCAAUAAACAGUUCUGCUUCAAUACACUGAGCUAACAGAAGAAAAGCACAGAGAGCAGAACUCUGUGAAAGCUAAAGAGACUCCUGCUAAAUACAGCUCUGUUAGGCCUGGCAGACUUUGUGGUCAUGUCCCCAGACCACAGCCUCACCAGGAGGCCAACAAAAGCUAUUGAAGAAAGGCACAAGGGAAAAACUGCGGGAGACACAGUCUGGAUGUGGCCUGAUAAAGGCUCGGCUAUACAGAAACACAGGUGAUUGCUCCUACACAGAUGUAGCCGCUUCACUAAGGACAACAGUUAUGCAGUAUUGUGAAAAACAUCUUUUUCCUUUUUGAUCUGAUUUAUUACACUGUGACAGUGGAGCACAAGUCAUGGACAGAAAAGGAGAUCUUACCAGGUUAUGCUUGUGUAAGCAAGCAAUGCUCAUAUGGGUGAGCGUGGGCUCUGCCUCACUCAGAUCUGUAGUGCUGACAAGAGGCAAAAAAAAAAAAAAAAGGUAAGAAAUUGCCAUUAAAACUCUCAGCUGUCUGUUGGGCAGCUCAAAAUUCAUCUCCUGAGUAGCUGCAGAACUGUCCUUCCAGGAAAGAGAAAGGAAGAGUUCGCUACAGUCACCUUACCUGAUGCUCCUGCCCUUCUGCAGCAAUGUCCAAAUGCCAUUGGGGCCUCGGUAGUCUGGGAUCGAAGCUGCCGUACUGAUCCCUGCUCCUGUGUAGAUGACAAGGUGCUUGGCAUUCCGGAUAGCAGCAGCCAGCUCAAUGACCUUUCUCUUCAGCUCCUCUGGCUCAUCACAUACCUCCUCCUGCCGCCGGCGCAGCCUCUCGCGCCUCUUGCGGCGCCUCUCCAGCUCCCGGACGAUGUCCUCGCUCUCGCUCAGCACCUGACACUCCUCGGGGCUCCGUUC